GGUGAAUUACUAAUAACCGGGAGGAACUUUACCAAGGCUUUACUUACACCGGGAAAGGGCCAGAGAUGGUCGCCCCCUUGUGGGUCGGUGUACAGGUGGUGCAUGGUUGUCGUCAGCUCGUGUCGUGAGAUGUUGGGUUAAGUCCCGCAACGAGCGCAACCCUCGUUCUAUGUUGCCAGCGCGUUAUGGCGGGGACUCAUAGGAGACUGCCGGGGUCAACUCGGAGGAAGGUGGGGAUGACGUCAAAUCAUCAUGCCCCUUAUGUCUUGGGCUUCACGCAUGCUACAAUGGCCGGUACAAAGGGCUGCGAUACCGUAAGGUGGAGCGAAUCCCAAAAAGCCGGUCUCAGUUCGGAUUGAGGUCUGCAACUCGACCUCAUGAAGUCGGAGUCGCUAGUAAUCGCAGAUCAGCA
rnacentral:rRNA from 1 species